AACAAAACAGAAGCUUUCAGCAUCUUCCACCACUACAAGAAGAUUUCAACAAACAGAAAUUUGCACAGUUUUUGAAGGUAACAAAGAUUCCCAAGUCUUUUUUUUUCCCCAAAGGAAAUGUUAGGUAAGAAUGAUGAGGAAAUGAGAACAUUUGCCAGGAAUUUGAUUGGAUACGAUACAUGAAAAAUAGUUUGAAGAAAGUAGGAAGGAAAGUAAUAAACAAAGAAAAACAAUUUUAUGCUCUCUCUCUCUCUGGGCACGAGCAGGAACAUCAAAAUGAAAGACCGAAGACAUGUACAUGACACAGAACGAAAUAUUCAAAAAUACGUGAGAUGAUUUGAUAGGUUGUCUGCAAAAAGAGUUUACCGACCGCAUAAUAAUUCAUUCUUGUGUGUAGCGUGUGGGACCAUGUCGCCCAAACGAUCAUAGUACGACCGCUCAUCAAAUAUCAAA